AAAGAGACUCCUGACUCUACCUAACAUACACCAAAGCAUAACAUUCAAGUAUAUCCAAGAGGAGAUUGCUUUGGAGCAAAACAAAGAAACAAAUUUAUUAAAAAAAUAAUUAGGAAAACAAAACAAACAAUAGAUACGUUUUUGAAAGAUUUGCUCACCUGGGUCACCUUAAAAUCUUGGUCAAACCCCAGGAUUCCACUCACCAUGGAGCUUUCCGCUUCUCCAAUCUCCCUCCUAUACAACUUUCCACUUGGGUAGGACAAAAGGCAAAGAAACAAAUCAGUAAACAUUGUAAAAACAAAUUAAUAAAGAGUAACUACGCAUAUAUAUAUAUAUAUAUAAUACCAUGUUCAAUGACAAGCAGAUUAAAAGUGGUAAGGCCAAAACUGCAUCGGUUUCGGCGUCAAUACGAAGAAGGAGGGGGAAAGGUACGAAGAAAGAGGAAGAAGAUUUGGUUAUGGUGUUUUACUCUGUUUACGAGUCAAUCCCAUGGAAAUUGAUUUUCGUUUGAGUGUCGAAGUACUGUUUGGUUGGUCGGAUUCGGUGACUCGUUUGCUUGUUUAAUAGUUUUUAUUAUUUUAGCGGCCAAAAAAUUCAUGGAGGCGUUGGUCCGUCAUUUGUAUAUUACCGGCCGUCUUAUUUGGACGAUUCACG
rnacentral:lncRNA from 1 species